CGAAGGGCCCGAGCGUUAAUCAGAAUCACUGGGCUUAAAGCGUGCGCAGGCGGAAACGUCAGUGUCUUGUGAAAUCCCACGGCUCAACCGUGGAAUUGCAGGGCAUACUGCGUUUCUUGAGGUCGGUAGAGGUCGCCGGAACUCUAGGUGUAGCGGUGAAAUGCGUAGAUAUCUAGAGGAACGCCGAAGGUGAAGACAGGCGACUGGGCCGAUUCUGACGCUCAGGCACGAAAGCGUGGGGAGCAAACAGGAUUAGAUACCCUGGUAGUCCACGCCGUAAACGUUGUGCACUAGAUCCUGGAGGUACUGACACCGUCGGGGUCGAAGAUAACUUGCUAAGUGCACCGCCUGGGGAGUACGGUCGCAAGGCUAAAACUCAAAGGAAUUGACGGGGGCUCACACAAGCGGUGGAGCAUGUGGCUUAAUUCGAGGCAACGCGAAGAACCUUACCUGGGUUUGACAUGCUUGGAUUAGCCUGUCGAAAGACAGGUGACGCUAAUUCUAGUGGAACUUGCACGGGUGCUGCAUGGCUGUCGUCAGCUCGUGCUGUGAAGUGUCGGGUUAAGUCCCUUAACGAGCGAAACCCCUGCCGCUAGUUGCCAUCAGGUCAAGCUGAGCACUCUAGCGGGACUGCCGGUGUCAAACCGGAGGAAGGUGGGGAUGACGUCAAGUCCUCAUGGCCUUUAUGCCCAGGGAUGCACACGUGCUACAAUGGUAGGUACAACGCGACGCGAUGCCGCGAGGCGGAGCAAAUCGCAAAAAACCUGCCCCAGUUCGGAUCGCAGUCUGCAACUCGACUGCGUGAAGUUG
rnacentral:rRNA from 1 species